rnacentral:rRNA from 1 species
AUUGAACGCUGGCGGCAGGCCUAACACAUGCAAGUCGAACGAGUGGCGGACGGGUGAGUAAUGUAUAGGAAACUGCCUGAUGGCGGGGGAUAACUACUGGAAACGGUAGCUAAUACAGCAUACCAUCGGAUGUGCCCAGAUGGGCUUAGCUAGUAGGGGGGGUAAAGGCUCACCUAGGCGACGUACCCUAGCUGGUCUGAGAGGAUGCCCAGCCACACUGUAACUGAGACACGGUCCAGACUCCUACGGGAGGCAGCAGUGGGGAAUAUUGCACAAUGGGCGCAAGCCUGAUGCAGCCAUGCCGCGUGUAUGAAGAAGGCCUUCGGGUUGUAAAGUACUUUCAGUGGGGAGGCGUUACCCGCAGAAGAAGCACCGGCUAACUCCGUGCCAGCAGCCGCGGUAAUAC